CUUUAUCCUGGUCUUCCACCAGCAUCAGUCCUUUGUGUCUUUGGAAAAGGAGGUGGUUUGGGUCCCCAGUUCCAUGAAGGCUGGGCAUGGGGCCCUGGCAAGCUGGAGAUCUGCCUUUCCUUUAUCCUCUGCUCUCUACCCCUCCUUUACCUCCUUCUUGCACCCCUGACCAAUUCCCAAGAGAGUUGCAUGUGCUUGACUGAGGGAGGAAGAAAAAAGUCAGCCUGAGUGAUGGAUACAUUUGGAAAAUGUGAGCAGUGUACCAGUUGUGGACCUCUCCCCUCCAGGAAGGGCUAAGUUGAUGAAAAGAAAACCAAAGUCAGGACAACUAUAACAUUCAGAAGAAAAAUACUUGUGGAUGAAGAUACCAUCUCUGAGAACAUUCCACUUACUACAGGCUUGCUUUCUGGGGAAGCACAUCUAGUCUCCGAACACUCAGAGGAAAAGAUACUUGUGCCUGAAAACACUGUUUCUGAAAACAUGGCUGUUACUACACAAUUACUUUCUGGGGAAAUGCAUCGAGUGUCCAAGCACUCAGAGGAAAAGAUCCUUGUUGCAGGAGACACUGUCUCUGAGAACUUAACAGUUACUACAAAAUUACUUUCAGGGGAAUCACAUCUAAUCUUAAAACAUUCACUAGACAAGACAUUUGGGGUUGAAGACACUGUCUCUGAGAACAUUCCACUUACUAUAGGCUUGCUUUCUGGGGAAGUACAUCUAGUCUCUGAACACUGAGGAAAAAAUACUUGUGACAGGAGACACUGUCUCUGAGAACUUAACAGUUACUACAAAAUUACUUUCAGGGGAAAUACAUCUAUCUAAUCGUAAAACAUACACUAGACAAGACUUUUGGGGCUGGAGACACUGUCUCUGAGAACAUGCCGGUAACUAUAAAAUUGCUUUCUGCUGACACACAUCUAGUAUUAAAACAUUUUGUAGACAACACAUCCGGGGGGCUGGAGACACUGUCUCUGAAAACAAAUCGGCGACCACAGGCUUACUCCCAAUGGAGUAUAGUCCUUCAAGACAAGACGCAAUCUUUAAUGAAAUCGAAGACUUUCAAACAUUCCUGAUGAAAAGACCCGAGCUGAAUAGAAAAUCACACACAAGACUCAAGAGGACCCAAAAAAGGUAAACAUGAAAUAGAAAUCAUGAUGGACUCAAGAAGGUUAACUUGUGUAGCCUUCUAUAAGGGAAAAUAAUUUAUGCAUUUUUCAGAAUUUCAUUAUUAUUAGGAAGUUAGAAUGGCUCUACAGAGCAGAAGGGUCUGGGAGGGAGUUGAUUAGGUUGAGAUGAUCAAAAUGGAUAGGUGAGAAAGAGGGAUGCAGUGGGAGAAGGGGAAAGAGAGAGAAAGAUUGGGGGUGGGGGGGAGAAUUGUCUUAAGUAAAAGAGAUGCCCCAGGAAGAACUUUUACAAUGGAAGGAAAAAUGGAGGGUGGGUUGGGCAACAUUUGAACCUCAGUCACAUGUAAAGUGCUUCAGAAAGGAAAAAUACAUAUACAUACUCAAUUGGCAAUACAAGUCUCUCUUACCAGCUAGGGAAGUAGGGGAGAGUAAAGGGAUAAGAGAAAGGGGAGUCAGAACUCGGGGGGCAGAUAAAAAUGGCAGAGUUCAGAAGCAAAACAGACAUUUAUGGAGGGAAAGGAUAAAAAGCCAGAGAGAGAAAAGAAGUGAGAGGGAGAGAGAGAGAGAGAGAGAGAGAGAGAGAGAGAGAGAGAGAGAGAGAGAGAGAGAGGGAAAGGGAGAGAGUCUCCAAGAAAAGCAGAAGAGAGGAGCAGAGAGACCACCACCACCACCACCACCGUUGGAUCAGGACUUGGCUUGAGACCUCCAGUGCUGAGAGAGACUUGCCCAGCUCCACCCACCAGCGUGUCCAGCCCCAAGGGUCUCUCUUCCAUCCAGCUGUGCUCAGUUACUGCAUGCCUAUUGCUGACCUCCACAGGCGCCCACCUUCCCCUCUCUGUAUCCAUCUCUGGCCCCACUUAUCUGCCCUCCACCUGUUGUUCCUGUUAGUUACAGGGACUCAAUCCUGAAUCAGUCUUCCUUGCAGUUGGAACCCAAAGAAAAGGCCCUACCAAGUCCUGCUGACCAAACCCUCUUCUGCAACACUGAAAGGAAUUGACAGCCGGAUGCACCUAUGACAUCUGAGGAAGGCUCCAAUCCCCCAGUGGACAGCCCCGCUCACUAACAGUGAUACCAAAGUCCAUCUGACCUGGGAAAAGAAGCAGACAACAGCAGGGGUAGACCCCUGAGAAUCCUGUGUUCCUUGCCCCAGCUUACAUUCAUUUAGAACUUUUCCAUCCUAUGUCCCUGUACCAGCUACUGAAUGUACCCGACUUGUUAGUCUUUCUGUAUUAUCUACUCCCAUGAGCAAAUUAGUUUUCAAAAUUGGUAAAUAUGUAAAAAAAAUCAACCCCCUUUAUAAAUCAAAUCAACUUUAGCAGGAUAACUCUUGUUCCCAUGAAACAUUGGACCCUUGUCACAUCUUUUCAGUCAUCAACAGAAUUCCAGACUUCCUCUUGGCCAAGAGGAUGAAAUGACAACCACAGCUGACUGAGAACUGACUGAUCCUGCCCUGGUCUCUAUUCCCAAGCCAGUGAAUUACCUGGGGCUGACCUAGUAUUACCAUUCUGGCUUCUCAUUAUUUUGUAAACCUCAGACUCCCCCCUCCUAAAGGUAAUUUCUUUACUCUAUCAUAAUAUUCUAUAUAAAUUGUGUUCCCAAUCCCACUCUAGGUACUCCUAACACUUGCCAUGGGGUACCAUCAAGUGUAAGUCUUUUGUGCUGAUUAAAGACCUUCAUUUUGUCAAA